GCACUCACUGAGUCUUCUCCAGAACAUCUCUCGAUUAAACUCCUCGGUGGUCUCCUGGGCUUCGCCGACUUGUGGGUGUGGCGUGUGGGGGCCGAACGGUGGCGAAUGGAAAAGCUGAGCCCAGGAACCAAAUUACUUGCUUUACCUCAUUGUGUAAGACAAGCGUCAAAAACAGCUUCAACCUAUCUUGAACAAGAGAACUUACCUCCAAAGGUGAUCUGCCAUAGCUUACACAGAAUCAUAAAGUGUUAUAUUUUCAUUUGUUCUCUGGUGGGAGUUACUAAUGAGCAAAGUGCAAAGGGAGGAUAAAAGUGUAAAAUAAAGACUAAGACUAGGCAACAAA